GGGACAACCCGCCGAAAGGCGGGCUAAAACCGCGUACAUGCCACCGGGGCAUCCCGGAGGCAGGAAAGGCUUCGGCCGGACAGGGAUGGGCAUGCGGCGCAUUAGGCAGUAGGCGGGGUAACGGCCCACCUAACCGACGAUGCGUAGGGGUUCUGAGAGGAAGGUCCCCCACACUGGUACUGAGACACGGACCAGACUCCUACGGGAGGCAGCAGUGAGGAAUAUUGGUCAAUGGUCGGGAGACUGAACCAGCCAAGCCGCGUGAGGGAUGAAGGUACAGAGUAUCGUAAACCUCUUUUGUCAGGGAACAAAGGCGGGGACGUGUCCCCGGAUGAGUGUACCUGAAGAAAAAGCAUCGGCUAACUCCGUGCCAGCAGCCGCGGUAAUACGGAGGAUGCGAGCGUUAUCCGGAUUUAUUGGGUUUAAAGGGUGCGCAGGCGGUCUGUUAAGUCAGCGGUCAAAGCCCGGGGCUCAACCCCGGCCCGCCGUUGAAACUGGCAGUCUCGAGUUGGAGAGAAGUAUGCGGAAUGCGCGGUGUAGCGGUGAAAUGCAUAGAUAUCGCGCAGAACUCCGAUUGCGAAGGCAGCAUGCCGGCUCCACACUGACGCUGAGGCACGAAAGCGUGGGUAUCGAACAGGAUUAGAUACCCUGGUAGUCCACGCAGUAAACGAUGAAUGCUGGCUGUCCGGG
rnacentral:rRNA from 1 species